UAGGGAAUCUUCCGCAAUGGACGAAAGUCUGACGGAGCAACGCCGCGUGAGUGAUGGAGGUUUUCGGAUCGUAAAACUCUGUUGUUAGGGAAGAACAAGUACCAGAGUAACUGCUGGUACCUUGACGGUACCUAACCAGAAAGCCACGGCUAACUACGUG
rnacentral:rRNA from 1 species